GACGAACGCUGGCGGCGUGCUUAACACAUGCAAGUCGAACGAAGCUUGAUUACGGAUUCUUCGGAUGAAGUAUGAUAUGACUGAGUGGCGGACGGGUGAGUAACGCGUGAGUAACCUGCCCUUCAGAGGGGGAUAGCGUUUGGAAACGAACGGUAAUACCGCAUAAUGUAUUUUGACCGCAUGAUCGAAAUACCAAAGAUUUAUCGCUGAAGGAUGGACUCGCGUCUGAUUAGGUAGUUGGUGGGGUAACGGCCUACCAAGCCGACGAUCAGAAGCCGGACUGAGAGGUUGAUCGGCCACAUUGGGACUGAGACACGGCCCAGACUCCUACGGGAGGCAGCAGUGGGGAAUAUUGCACAAUGGGCGCAAGCCUGAUGCAGCAACGCCGCGUGAAGGAAGACGGUUUUCGGAUUGUAAACUUCUGUUCUUAGUGAAGAAUAAUGACGGUAGCUAAGGAGCAAGCCACGGCUAACUACGUG
rnacentral:rRNA from 1 species